rnacentral:piRNA from 1 species
UCCCCCUUGGAAGUUAGCAGAAAUCCUGGACC